GACGAACGCUGGCGGCGUGCUUAACACAUGCAAGUCGAACGGAAAGGCCCCUUUGGGGGUCCUCGAGUGGCGAACGGGUGAGUAACACGUGAGUAACCUGCCCUUGACUUCGGGAUAACUUCAGGAAACUGGGGCUAAUACCGGAUAGGAAUCCUUGCUGCAUGGUGGGGGUUGGAAAGCUUCGGCGGUUUUGGAUGGACUCGCGGCUUAUCAGCUUGUUGGUGGGGUAGUGGCUUACCAAGGCUUUGACGGGUAGCCGGCCUGAGAGGGCGACCGGCCACAUUGGGACUGAGAUACGGCCGAGACUCCUACGGGAGGCAGCAGUGGGGAAUAUUGCACAAUGGGCGGAAGCCUGAUGCAGCAACGCCGCGUGCGGGAUGACGGCCUUCGGGUUGUAAACCGCUUUCAGCAGGGGCGAAGCUUGUGGUGACGGUACCUGCAGAAGAAGCACCGGCUAACUACGUG
rnacentral:rRNA from 1 species